UACGAAGGGUGCAAACGUUGCUCGGAAUCAUUGGGCGUAAAGCGCACGUAGGCGGCCUUGCAAGUCGGAUGUGAAAUCCCUCGGCUCAACCGAGGACGUGCAUCCGAAACUGCUUGGCUCGAGUAUGGAAGAGGGUCGCAGAAUUCCCGGUGUAGAGGUGAAAUUCGUAGAUAUCGGGAGGAACACCCAUAGCGAAGGCAGCUUGCUGGGACGAUACUGACGCUAAGGCUCGAAAGCGUGGGGAGCGAACAGG
rnacentral:rRNA from 1 species